AGAGUUUGAUCCUGGCUCAGGAUAAACGCUGGCGGUGUACAUAAGACAUGCAAGUCGAACGGGAGAAGACAGGAAGAUUUAUCUACUUGUUGGACACCGUGGCGGACGGGUGAGUAACACGUAAGCAACCUGCCUAUAAGAGGGGAAUAACAGUGAGAAAUUACUGAUAAUACCGCAUAAGCUGGAGGUAUCGCAUGAUACAUUCAGAAAAGAUUUAUCGCUUAUAGAUGGGCUUGCGUCUGAUUAGCUAGUUGGUGAGAUAACAGCUCACCAAGGCGACGAUCAGUAGCCGGAUUGAGAGGUUGAACGGCCACAUUGGGACUGAGACACGGCCCAGACUCCUACGGGAGGCAGCAGUCGGGAAUAUUGCACAAUGGAGGAAACUCUGAUGCAGUGACACCGCGUAUAGGAAGAAGGUCUUAGGAUUGUAAGCUAUUGUCGUGUGAGAAGAAAAUGACCAUCACAGGAGGAAGCCCUGGCUAAAUAUGUGCCAGCAGCCGCGGUAAUACAUAUGGGGCGAGCGUUAUCCGGAUUUAUUGGGUGUAAAGGGUGCGUAGGCGGGAAAAAUAAGUCAGUAUGUGAAAUCCCUCGGCUCAACUGAGGAACUGCAACUGAAACUAUUUUUCUUGAGUGUUGAAGGGGAAAGUGGAAUUCCUAGUGUAGCGGUGAAAUGCGUAGAGAUGUGGAGGAAUACCGAAGGCGAAGGCAGCCCCUUGGGAAUGUACUGACGCUCAUGUGCGAAAGCGUGGGGGAGCAAACAGGAUUAGAUACCCUGGUAGUCCACGCUGUAAACGAUGUCGAUUUGGGGGUUGAGCUUUAAGCUUGGCGCCCGUAGCUAACGUGAUAAAUCGACCGCCUGGGGAGUACGGCCGCAAGGUUAAAACUCAAAUGAAUUGACGGGGGCCCGCACAAGCGGUGGAGCAUGUGGUUUAAUUCGAAGAUACGCGAAGAACCUUACCAAGGCUUGACAUACAGAGGAAUAAGUAGGAAACUAUUUAGCUCUUCGGAGUCUCUGUACAGGUGGUGCAUGGUUGUCGUCAGCUCGUGUCGUGAGAUGUUAGGUUAAGUCCUGCAACGAGCGCAACCCCUAUUUCUAGUUGCCAGCACAUAAUGGUGGGAACUCUAGAAAGACUGCCGGUGAUAAAUCGGAGGAAGGUGGGGACGACGUCAAAUCAUCAUGCCCUUUAUGUCUUGGGCAACACACGUACUACAAUGGCCGUUACAGAGAGAAGCAAUACAGUGAUGUGGAGCAAAACUCAAAAAGCGGUCUCAGUUCGGACUGUAGGCUGAAAUUCGCCUACACGAAGUCGGAAUUGCUAGUAAUGGCAGGUCAGCAUACUGCGGUGAAUACGUUCCCGGGCCUUGUACACACCGCCCGUCAAGCCAUGGGAGCCGGGGGUACCUGAAGUCCGUAACCGUUGAGGAUCGGCCUAGGGUAAAACUGGUGACUGGGGCUAAGUCGUAACAAGGUAACC
rnacentral:rRNA from 1 species